rnacentral:rRNA from 1 species
AUUGAACGCUGGCGGCAGGCUUAACACAUGCAAGUCGAGCGGGGUGAUGGUGCUUGCACUAUCACUUAGCGGCGGACGGGUGAGUAAUGCUUAGGAAUCUGCCUAUUAGUGGGGGACAACAUCUCGAAAGGGAUGCUAAUACCGCAUACGUCCUACGGGAGAAAGCAGGGGAUCACUUGUGACCUUGCGCUAAUAGAUGAGCCUAAGUCGGAUGAGCUCGUUGGUGGGGUAAAGGCCUACCAAGGCGACGAUCUGUAGCGGGUCUGAGAGGAUGAUCCGCCACACUGGGACUGAGACACGGCCCAGACUCCUACGGGAGGCAGCAGUGGGGAAUAUUGGACAAUGGGGGGAACCCUGAUCCAGCCAUGCCGCGUGUGUGAAGAAGGCCUUAUGGUUGUAAAGCACUUUAAGCGAGGAGGAGGCUCUUUUGGUUAAUACCCAAGAUGAGUGGACGUUACUCGCAGAAUAAGCACCGGCUAACUCUGUGCCAGCCGCCGCCGUAA